AGCAGCCGCGGUAAUUCCAGCUCCAAUAGCGUAUAUUAAAGUUGUUGCAGUUAAAAAGCUCGUAGUUGAAUUUCGGGAUCAAUUAAUCGGUCGUGCCUCUGGUACGCACUGGUUUUAUUGGUUUCUCCCUUCUGACGAACCAGGAUGUCAUUAAUUUGGUGUCUUGGAGAAUUCAGGACUGUUACUUUGAAAAAAUUAGAGUGUUUAAAGCAGGCUUCUAGGCAUGAAUACAUUAGCAUGGAAUAAUGAAAUAGGACGUUUGAUCCUAUUUUUGUUGGUUUCUAGGAUCGACGUAAUGAUUAAUAGGGAUAGUUGGGGGCAUUAGUAUUCAAUUGUCAGAGGUGAAAUUCUUGGAUUUAUUGAAGACUAACUAUUGCGAAAGCAUUUGCCAAGGAUGUUUUCAUUAAUCAAGAACGAAAGUUAGGGGAUCGAAGACGAUCAGAUACCGUCGUAGUCUUAACCAUAAACUAUGCCGACUAGGGAUCGGAUGAUGUUAAAUUUUUUUUUAAUGACUCAUUCG
rnacentral:misc_RNA from 1 species